AGUAGGUCAGAAAGCUCACAGCACACAAUAUAACAAGUACAUAAAAAUGGUUAGUGAACUGGGAAAAUCUGUUUUUAGGGAAACAACAUCAAAUGAACUAUGGAGGACAAAACAUUUCUUGACAUUCAAAUUAGCGUGACCAUUUGGCACUAAUCUUGUGGAAUGACGCCCCUCCUGAAGCCCCUUUUCCAGCAUGUGGUCUCCUGAUCAUCUCAUGAAUUCCAUUCUUUCUUUGGCAGGCCUACACACUUCUAUUUUUAACCCCCCCAAAACACCCCAACCCACAUCUGAUGUAGACACGCCUGCUGACCCAGUCGUCAAAGGCCAAUGAAUGGAAGGCUACCUGGACAGUGCAGGGCUGCAGGGCAUCUCCCCGGGCGUGUAUGCGGCGGAGCGAUCCCCUUUCCUCCUGGGACUCUGGAGAUUCUGCACUGAAGAGGAUUUCUUCAGCUGGACAAAAGGAGACCCCUGGUGGUCAUAAAUGAAAAAAAAAAACAACAAGUGAGUGGAGAUGUGUGAGGGCAGUAGAGGACAAACCAGGCGCAGUGACUGCAGUGAUGGAGCU